AUGGGAAUGUUUCUCAUUACGGCUGUGCCUACAAGCAGUGUCUUGCCAGAGGCUGAGCAUAAUCUGCUCCAUAAGCCUCUUAUGGGGCUAUCCCAAAGGAAAGGGCCUUUGGAUCUUCCCUUCCCCUUCCUGCCCCUUCCUGUCUGCAGGCAGUUCCGCACACGGUUCCUUCGUGGACUGGCACGGUGCUGCUGCAGGCACCAGCAGCUAUUUGCCAGAUGCUGCUGUGAGCAAUGCUGGCAUUGCAGUCUAAACAAGUACCUGGCCACGUGUGACAGGAGCUGCUCUGUGUUUGUGUACAGGUGCGGGUGCAGUGGAAUCGUCUCCAGCUUCCCAGCUGAGCUCCGGGACAGAAGCCCCAGCAACUCGUAUUGGUCCUGGAGGAUGGAAGGUGGCAUGGGAAGAUGGAAAAUAUUCCAAGAGACUGUCCCAUUUACUAAGGACAAUCCUGGAGAAGGCAGCACGGGAAGCAGAUGGAGAGCCUGUGCACAGGGGUGCAUUUCAGCAAGGCAGCCGUCUCACACUGCCCGUCCAGCCGGGAGCGACAGAGGCCACGCACACAGCUGGUGCUGCAGGUGCGGAAGGGGAGGGACGUGGAAAUGGCAGAGAAGACCAAGUGUUACUGAAGUACUGCCUGGCACUGACUGCAGCUCUCGUGGUUUCCAUGCUGGCAGCGAUGAUAGCGUGCUGUCUGCUUAUCCGGCGAUGGAGGCAGAGCAACCAGUGAGUUGUUGUUCCCCGCACUCCUAUCCUGCCCAAGUCUUUACUGGAGGGCUUCUGAGAGCCAGGAGGCUCCAGCAGCGUAGAGAGGCCGGUUAGUUGUUGGCUAAGAUGGUCUGAGAUGUUUGAAUUGGCACGGCUGUUCCUGCAGCCCGUUCUUAGUGCUGGCUGAGAGCUGAGGGCGGCUCUUUGCCAUUGAGGAAGGAGAGCAGGGGCUCUCCUGUGCCCUCAGCACGUUCCUCUCUCCGCAGGUGCCUGGCUGCAGCUGAUGGAGCCCAGCACGAUGUUCGCGGCUACAGCUUGCCCUCGGAGGGACGUCCUGCUUUCCUCAAGGGGCCUGGCAGAUGGAGAUGAUGCCAACAACAAUGACCACCUGCCCUCCGGCCGCGUGGCACCACCAGGGCGGCCCCCGCCAGGCCUGACAGCAGCCGGGCUCAGCUGCCCCCGCCACAGCCCACCAGCCCAGGCUCUGCAGCCCGGGGGCAUCAACACCACCCCCCGUCCCCCGUCAUCACCCUUUCGGGGGGUCAGGAGCGGCCCCUCAGAGUGUCACCUGGGGGCAGCUACUGCCCGGGGGAAGCUUGAGUGGCCUGGCAGCCCCCAGCAGCAGCUCUGCCUUCGCUCUCCCCUCCAGCAUCCAUCGGGGUGGAAGCCAGCCCAGCAGCUUGUAGUCUUGGGGACAUUGUCCAGCAGCCAGCCAACCUCUGCCUGGGGGAAGCCAACUGGCCCAGCAGCCCCCAGUCCCCCCAGGAAUCAUCACCACCCUCCCACUCCCCUCCACCAUCCUUCAGGGGUUGGGAGCGGUCCCUCCUGGCAGUCAGUUUGGGGGCAUCAUCCAACACCCAGUUUGGGGGCAUUAUCCAACACCCAGAAUGCCAGGGAGAAGGAUACCAGGCCCUGCAGCCCCCAAAAAAACACCACCUCUGCCCUCCCACUCCUCUCUGUCAUCCAUCAAGAGGUGGGAGUGGCACCCAUGGGGGGGGGGCAUCAUGCAACACCUGUAAAACCACUGCCUGGGGGAAGUAUGACAGGCACAGCAGCCCCCUGAGCUCCCCUCUUCCCCCCGCCCCCCCCAGCAUCACCUCUGCCCUCCCACUUCUCUCCACCAUCAGUCAGGAGGUGGGAGCACCCCCGGCGUGUGGGUUUGGGGACAUCAUCUGCCAGCCAGAGAACCACUGCUGGCAUCAGCCGGGGCUUUCCAGGCUGUGCUGUGCCAAUAAAUAGAAAGUACCACCACA
rnacentral:lncRNA from 1 species